ensembl:lncRNA
UAGAAGAGAGAUAAAACAACCAGCGACAGCAGUAUUAAUGGUCAGGUCAGCGCAACGUACCUAGAAAUGUGUGUUUUAAUGUUUCCUAACUGUGCUUCUCUUUAAAGGUGUUACAAGAUUCGGAAAACAGUCAUGCACUCCACAUGUGUCAAGGAUGAGAUUGGAUGGAGAAGGAAGACAAAACUCACACCUCAUGAGAAGAUAUAGAGCUAUUUUGAAGAGCUUCUUUUACAAAUGCUUCUCUUGAGACCCAGUCUCUCACUUAGAGCAGAUCUCUGGUCUGAGCCAUCCUUCUCUGUGAACAGGUAAGUUCUGAUGCUUUUAUUUCCUUUUAAUCUAAUGGACAGGUUUCUAGCUUGUAUUUAAUUAACAUAUUUUCCUCUCGUGCUGGCAAUCUUGAAAAAGAACAAAAGGCUUUUGAAAGCAAACUCAU